GCAUAUCAAUAAGCGGGAGGAAAAGAACCAACAGGGAUUGCCCUAGUAACGGCGAGUGAAGCGGCAACAGCUCAAAUUUGAAAUCUGGCUUCGGCCCGAGUUGUAAUUUGCAGAGGAUGUUUUUGGCGCGGUGCCUUCCGAGUUCCCUGGAACGGGACGCCACAGAGGGUGAGAGCCCCGUAUGGUUGGACACCAAGCCUGUGUGAAACUCCUUCGACGAGUCGAGUAGUUUGGGAAUGCUGCUCAAAAUGGGAGGUAAAUCUCUUCUAAAGCUAAAUACCGGCCAGAGACCGAUAGCGCACAAGUAGAGUGAUCGAAAGAUGAAAAGCACCUUGAAAAGGGGGUUAAACAGUACGUGAAAUUGUUGAAAGGGAAGCGCUUGUGACCAGACUUGUGCCGGGCGGCUCAUCCGGGGUUCUCCCCGGUGCACUCCGCCCGGCUCAGGCCAGCAUCGGUUUUCGUUGGGGGAUAAGAACGGCAGGAACGUGGCCCUCCUUCGGGUGGGUGUUAUAGCCUGCCGUACGAUACCCUGACGGGGACCGAGGUUCGCGCUCCGCAAGGAUGCUGGCGUAAUGGUCAUCAGCGACCCGUCUUGAAACACGGACCAAGGAGUCGUCCAUUAGAGCGAGCGUUUGGGUGUCAAACCCGCACGCGUAAUGAAAGUGAAAUUAGGUGAGAGCUUCGGCGCAUCAUCGACCGAUCCUGAUGUUCUCGGAUGGAUUUGAGUAAGAGUUUUAACGGACGGACCCGAAAGACAGUGAACUAUGCUUGUAUAGGGUGAAGCCAGAGGAAACUCUGGUGGAGGCUCGCAGCGGUUCUGACGUGCAAAUCGAUCGUCAAAUAUGAGCAUGGGGCGAAAGACUAAUCGAACUGUCUAGUAGCUGGUUACCGCCCAAA
rnacentral:rRNA from 1 species